rnacentral:tRNA from 1 species
CGCCUGCUAGUUUAAUGGUAGAACAAAACAUUCCUAAUGUUUUGGUUUAAGUUCGAUUCUUAAGCAGGCUG